AGUUUCUCUUGGCCGGAAUGUCAAGUUACAGCCCUAAAAUGGGGGUGUUGUAGACACAGUCAAUAACAGGCUAAAUCAGAAGUAACAGAUUCAGCACUCUGCCUGUUGGAAGUGUAGCCAGGGCGUCCUCCCAGCCUCCCUCUCCCCCCACCCCCUUUUUUUGCAGAGGAGACCGGCUUGCAAACCUUAUUUAAUCACAGUGAGUCCUGGGAUCCCACCUCGCUUAAUUCUGCCUGAAUCAGCGAGGCUUAAAAAUAAUGCCUUCAGAUGAGGCCGAUGGGAGGGCCUCGAGAAGGCCCCCCCCCUCCCAAGUGCUGGGCAAGAGAAACAUGUUCAUCAUGUUUUGAAAAUACACCAUUAAUAAUGUUAAUGGAAUGAUUGCAACCAAAAAGGAAGCGGGCUGUUUCUUAAGGGAACAUGGGGAUAGUCCCGGAGCUCCGUGCCCAGGGCCGUCAGAAAGGCCUGACUGUGUGGAGAGUUCUGUGUCUUUUCCCCGCUGCAGAGUCAGCUAAAUAUCAUUAACGUGCAGAUGCCGGAAAGCUGAGCAGAUAGGAAUUGCUCCGAGACGGGCACAGCCUUUCUCUGCUUCCUUUUCGUCUCCAGUGUGUCAUCCCAAAGCUCUUUCCGCAGCUGCUCAGGAGCCGGCUGGAGCUCAGGGACUGAGCAGAUUAGAGGGACGGGAUUCGGUCAUUUUAUUAAACUGCAGGCUCGCUCCACGUGGCCCUCGAAGCCCAAGAACGUUAACAUCUCGCCCUGACCGGUUUGGCUCAGUGGAUAGAGCAUCAGCCUGUGGACUGAAGGGUCCCAGGUUCAAUUCCGGUCAAGGGCAUGUAUCUUGGUUGCGGGCACAUCCCCAGGAGGAGGUGUGCAGGAGGCAGCUGAUCGAUGUUUCUCUCUCAUCGGUGUUUCUACCUCUCUAUCCCUCUCCCUUCCUCUGUGUAAAAAAUCAAUAAAAUAUAUAUAUUUUUAAAAAGAACGUUAACGUCUCAGAUAUGAGAAGGUGGAACUCCUGGAACUCAGCGCAGGUCUGUCUGACGUGAAGCAGGUCCAGUCUGCAUCCUGGAAGGGCGGCCCCUGUGAGCUUGGAUUUAUGAGAGCGAGAUUUGCAAGUAGUUAACUUCUGCGAGGAGUCACCGUGGACUCAUUUAAAUAAUGCCCUUUCCAGGGUGUUUACCAAAACCUGGCCCGUUUAUGGUUUUAUUGCCCAGAGAUGCCCACAGACUUUGGUUUUUAACACGCAUCUACUUUUGCUACUGAAGAGUGGCAUGAGAAUGGGUAUGUGACAGGAAGUUACCGAUUUAACAGAAAUACGUACAUGAAAGUUUGCAGUCCCUCAGUCCUGUGUUCAAACGAGUGAGUCCUGAAUUAGUCAACUAAUUUUAAACGGAAUAACCUUUGGGGACCUGGCAUUUCCAGUAGGCUCGGCCUGCUAAAGCUCGGUGUACAACUGAAUGCUCUUUUUUAUCUCUUUAGCAUGCACACCUGCAGCUGGGCCCCGAGUAGCUGCGGGGUCCCUCCCCGAUGCUAUGGCUUUCACAGCUGUUGUAUGUAUCCCUCACCCCUGCUUUCUACGCGAGGGAACAGGCGCAGCGAGGUCCCUCUGCUCCCGGUUACAGAGCUGGCGAGUUGAAGAGCUGGAAUUUGAACUGGGCUCCGGGCUGUUUUCAGAAACAGAUGCUGCUUUCUGUUCCUAUGUGAGGCUGGGUUCUCUGAAUUACUCCUUAGUCAGCUAGACCUGGGUUCACGUUCAGAGUCCACCGCUUGCCAGGUGUGUGAACUCCGGUGAGCUAUCUAAGGUUCUGCAUUGGUGAGGGUGUAAUGAGCGAAUACACGGCACAGUGCCUGGCAGACGGCUGGUUUAACGAGCGCUAAAUGCUUAACAGGUUGUGGUUAAGCCACAGAACCCAGGGAAGACCAUGGGCCCCAGAAUGAGAUUUGCAUGAGGGAAGGUGGGACAAGUGAAAUGGCUAAACGAGUAAGUGAAUGAAAAGCUACUCUAUUAAACCCAUGUCUAUUUUGUUUUUAUUAAACCCAUGUUUAUUUUUGUUGUUGUUAAA